rnacentral:misc_RNA from 1 species
CGUAAUUCUAUUUUUGAUUUUUCAAACAUGUCCGAGUUAUCCGAGUUGAUACCGGGUCUUCCAGAAGAAAUAGCUUUGGAGUGCCUCACUCGGCUGCAUUACUCCAGUCACCCAGUUGCUGCCCGAGUUUGCUGGCGCUGGCGCAACCUUCUUUUAAGCAAAGAUUUUUACAACCACCGAAAGCAAUCUGGCCACACCCAUAAAGCUGCCUGCUUCAUCCAAUCACUUCCCGUCCAAUUUGCUUCCAGUGAAUGUAAAUCAAUGACACCUACAUAUGGAGUUUCUUUAGUCGACCCAGUUAAUGGGACUUGGGAGCGAGUCGAACCAGUUCCUCAAUACCCAGAUGGUCUACCUUUGUUCUGCAAGAUUACGAGCUCAGAAGGGAUGCUUGUACUCAUGGGAGGGUGGGAUCCGGUUAAUUAUGAACCGCUAAGUCAUGUUUUUUUGUACGACUUCACGACUCGGAAAUGGAAACAAGCCAAGGACAUGCCGGAUACCCGUUCUUUCUUUGCUUUAGGCGAGAUAAACGGCCAAGUUAUAAUCGCUGGAGGCCACGAUGAGAACAAGAACGCGUUGAAUACAGCGUGGGUAUAUGACGUGACUCAGAACCAGUGGACUGAAUUACCAAAGAUGAGCCAGGAACGAGACGAGUGUGAAGGCUUGGUAAUCGGGUCUCAAUUCUGCGUCGUAAGCGGAUACAAAACAGAGAGUCAAGGACAAUUCGAGGGAAGUGCUGAGUUAAUCGAAAUCGGAGUGACUCAAUGGAGGAAAGUUGAAAACGCAUGGAAGGAGAAUCGAUGCCCAAAAUCCUGUAUCGGAGUGGAUAAAGAUGGGAAGUUUCUGAUCUGGAGUGGGUCUGAGAGAGUGGUUAAAGCUGGGGUAUGCGGGGUCCAUUCUAGUGAAUGGACAAUGGUGUCCGGAUCAGAAUAUCAAGGUGGUCCACAAGAGUUUUAUAUGAUAGAAGGACAAAAUGGUAAAUGGAAGAGGCUGGAAGUGCAAGAGGGGUUCUCGGGACUUGUGCAAUCCGGGUGCUCUGUGGAGAUCUGAAGAGCCAGGCUUGCAUUAAAAGCGGGCGUCCGCGGUCCCAUAGAAAGUUUCCACUGUUGAAGAUAUUUGUGUUAUCGGGUAUGCAAAUGUAAUUCUUCCUUAGAUUCAUAAGCUGCCCUGAAUGUAAUGAAAUUUUAUAAAAUUGCAAUGUAGACAUAAUCAUGUC